rnacentral:rRNA from 1 species
AUUGAACGCUGGCGGCAGGCCUAACACAUGCAAGUCGAGCGGAUGAGGGUAGCUUGCUACCUGAUUCAGCGGCGGACGGGUGAGUAAUGCCUAGGAAUCUGCCCGAUAGUGGGGGACAACGUUUCGAAAGGAACGCUAAUACCGCAUACGUCCUACGGGAGAAAGUGGGGGAUCUUCGGACCUCACGCUAUCGGAUGAGCCUAGGUCGGAUUAGCUAGUUGGUGAGGUAAUGGCUCACCAAGGCUACGAUCCGUAACUGGUCUGAGAGGAUGAUCAGUCACACUGGAACUGAGACACGGUCCAGACUCCUACGGGAGGCAGCAGUGGGGAAUAUUGGACAAUGGGCGAAAGCCUGAUCCAGCCAUGCCGCGUGUGUGAAGAAGGUCUUCGGAUUGUAAAGCACUCUAAGUUGGGAGGAAGGGCUGUAGGCUAAUAUCCUGCAGUUUUGACGUUACCAACAGAAUAAGCACCGGUUAACUUCGUGCCAGCAGCCGCCGUAA